UGGUCCUGCAAAUAUGUAAUAAAACCCAGAGGGGAGGCAGAGGCAAAGGGGUAUUAUCUCCAUGUCCCAGACUGCUUUGCCUCACCCUCCAGGCCUCUUGUAUCAGUAGGACUGGAUAGAGCAGGUCUAGGACACCAGCCCCUACCACACCAACCACCUCUCCUCUGUGUGAUCUGAUCCUCAGGGGCCUCCGUAGUUCACCCUACUAGCUCACACCGUCUCACGUCAGAAUUAGACGUUCAUCCAUGUUUCUCAAACGUCACAUUUCAAAGUGUUUGAGGUUGUUAAGUUUAGGUGUUAACUCCAAAUUCUUAAGGUUAGUCAUUCAUCCUGAAUGGUUCAUGCAACGAUUAAGGUUAGGUAUUCAUCCUGAA
ensembl:lncRNA